UACGUAGGUGGCGAGCGUUGUCCGGAUUUACUGGGCGUAAAGAGCGCGCAGGCGGUCGUACAAGUCGCGUGUGAAAGCCCCUGGCUCAACUGGGGAGGGUCACGCGAUACUGUUCGACUUGAAGGCAGGAGAGGGAAGUGGAAUUCCCGGUGUAGUGGUGAAAUGCGCAGAUAUCGGGAGGAACACCUGUGGCGAAAGCGGCGCACUGGACCACAACUGACGCUGAGGCGCGAAAGCUAGGGGAGCAAACAGG
rnacentral:rRNA from 1 species